rnacentral:rRNA from 1 species
AGUGAACGCUGGCGGCAGGCCUAACACAUGCAAGUCGAACGGCAGCACAGUAAGAGCUUGCUCUUACGGUUGGCGAGUGGCGGACGAGUGAGAAAUACAUCGCAAUCUACUUUUUCGGGGGUGAGAACGUAGGGACACUUACCCUAAUAGCGCAUACGACGUACGGGUGGAAGCAGGGGAUCUUCAGACCUUUCGCGAUUGUAUGAGCCGAUGUCGGAUUAGCUAGUUGGCGGGGUAAAGGCCCACCAAGGCGACGAUCCGUAGCUGGUCUGAGAGGAUGAUCAGCCACACUGGAACUGAGACACGGUCCAGACUCCUACGGGAGGCAGCAGUGGGGAAUAUUGGACAAUGGGCGCAAGCCUGAUCCAGCCAUGCCGCGUGGGUGAAGAAGGCCUUCGGGUUGUAAAGCCCUUUUAUUGGGGAAGAAAAGCAGCAGGUUAAUACCUCGCUGUUUUGACGGUACCAAAAGAAUAAGCACCGGCUAACUUCGUG